UUGAAUAAGCUUGGUUGGGCUGUUGCUGGCUUUUUGGAGCAUGUGCACGCCUAACACCAACCUCUUACCAACCUGUGCACCCUUUGUAGACCUGGAUAUAUAAUACCCCUCCCGGUUUGAGGAUUGCCGUGCGUCAAAGCCGGCUUUUCUUAUAUUUCCGGUCUAUGUCUUUAAUAUAUACACCAUCAGUAUGUCUAUGAAUGUUAUUAUCGGACUUCACUGUCCAAUAAACCUUAAUA
rnacentral:misc_RNA from 1 species